rnacentral:tRNA from 1 species
GGGGACGUGGCGAAACGGCAGACGCGCUAGCUUCAGGAGCUAGUUCUCGCAAGAGAGUGGGAGUUCAAAUCUCCCCGUCCCCA